rnacentral:piRNA from 1 species
UAGACGUUGGCAAAGAAAAAAAAUGC